UACGGAGGGGGCUAGCGUUGUUCGGAAUUACUGGGCGUAAAGCGCACGUAGGCGGACCAGAAAGUCAGAGGUGAAAUCCCAGGGCUCAACCUUGGAACUGCCUUUGAAACUCCUGAUCUUGAGGUCGAGAGAGGUGAGUGGAAUUCCGAGUGUAGAGGUGAAAUUCGUAGAUAUUCGGAGGAACACCAGUGGCGAAGGCGGCUCACUGGCUCGAUACUGACGCUGAGGUGCGAAAGCGUGGGGAGCAAACAGGAUUAGAAACCCCCGUAGUCC
rnacentral:rRNA from 1 species